rnacentral:rRNA from 1 species
AGGGUUUGAUCAUGGCUCAGGACGAACGCUGGCGGUGCGCCUUAUGCAUGCAAGUCGAGCGAAGCUUUUCAGUAGUUUACUACAGAAAAUGACUGAGCGGCGAACGGGUGAGUAACGCGUGAGCAAUCUACCUUAGUUACAGGGAUAGCCCGAGGAAACUCGGAUUAAUACCUGAUAUUCUUUAUUUCUCGCAUGAGAAUAAAAGGAAAGGUCAGCCGAACUAAGAUGAGCUCGCGUUCUAUCAGCUUGUUGGUGAGGUAAAAGCUUACCAAGGCUACGACGGAUAGCUGGUCUGAGAGGACGAUCAGCCACACUGGGACUGAGACACGGCCCAGACUCCUACGGGAGGCUGCAGCAGGGAAUAUUGUGCAAUGAACGAAAGUUUGACACAGCGACACCGCGUGUGGGAUGACGGAUCUAGGUUUGUAAACCACUUUCAGGAGGGAAGAAAAUGACGGUACCUCCACAAGAAGCCCCGGCCAACUACGUGCCAGCAGCCGCGGUAAUAC